AUUGAACGCUGGCGGCAUGCCCUACACAUGCAAGUCGAACGGUAACAGGUCUUCGGAUGCUGACGAGUGGCGAACGGGUGAGUAAUACAUCGGAACGUGCCCAGACGUGGGGGAUAACGAGGCGAAAGCUUUGCUAAUACCGCAUACGAUCUAAGGGUGAAAGCAGGGGACCGCAAGGCCUUGUGCGUUUGGAGCGGCCGAUGGCAGAUUAGGUAGUUGGUGGGAUAAAAGCUUACCAAGCCGACGAUCUGUAGCUGGUCUGAGAGGACGACCAGCCACACUGGGACUGAGACACGGCCCAGACUCCUACGGGAGGCAGCAGUGGGGAAUUUUGGACAAUGGGCGAAAGCCUGAUCCAGCAAUGCCGCGUGCAGGAUGAAGGCCUUCGGGUUGUAAACUGCUUUUGUACGGAACGAAAAGGCUCUGGCUAAUACCUGGGGCACAUGACGGUACCGUAAGAAUAAGCACCGGCUAACUACGUG
rnacentral:rRNA from 1 species